rnacentral:rRNA from 1 species
GACGAACGCUGUCGGCGUGCUUAACACAUGCAAGUCGAACGGAAAGGCCCUGCUUUUGUGGGGUGCUCGAGUGGCGAACGGGUGAGUAACACGUGAGUAACCUGCCCUUGACUUUGGGAUAACUUCAGGAAACUGGGGCUAAUACCGGAUAGGAGCUCCUGCUGCAUGGUGGGGGUUGGAAAGUUUCGGCGGUUGGGGAUGGACUCGCGGCUUAUCAGCUUGUUGGUGGGGUAGUGGCUUACCAAGGCUUUGACGGGUAGCCGGCCUGAGAGGGUGACCGGCCACAUUGGGACUGAGAUACGGCCCAGACUCCUACGGGAGGCAGCAGUGGGGAAUAUUGCACAAUGGGCGGAAGCCUGAUGCAGCAACGCCGCGUGCGGGAUGACGGCCUUCGGGUUGUAAACCGCUUUCGCCUGUGACGAAGCGUGAGUGACGGUAAUGGGUAAAGAAGCACCGGCUAACUACGUGCCAGCAGCCGCGGUGAUACGUAGGGUGCGAGCGUUGUCCGGAUUUAUUGGGCGUAAAGGGCUCGUAGGUGGUUGAUCGCGUCGGAAGUGUAAUCUUGGGGCUUAACCCUGAGCGUGCUUUCGAUACGGGUUGACUUGAGGAAGGUAGGGGAGAAUGGAAUUCCUGGUGGAGCGGUGGAAUGCGCAGAUAUCAGGAGGAACACCAGUGGCGAAGGCGGUUCUCUGGGCCUUUCCUGACGCUGAGGAGCGAAAGCGUGGGGAGCGAACAGGCCUAGAUACCCUGGUAGUCCACGCUGUAAACGGUGGGUACUAGGUGUGGGGUCCAUUCCACGGGUUCCGUGCCGUAGCUAACGCUUUAAGUACCCCGCCUGGGGAGUACGGCCGCAAGGCUAAAACUCAAAGGAAUUGACGGGGCCCCGCACAAGCGGCGGAGCAUGCGGAUUAAUUCGAUGCAACGCGUAGAACCUUACCUGGGUUUGACAUGGAUCGGGAGUGCUCAGAGAUGGGUGUGCCUCUUUUGGGGUCGGUUCACAGGUGGUGCAUGCCUGUCGUCAGCUCGUGUCGUGAGAUGUUGGGUUAAGUCCCGCAACGAGCGCAACCCUUGUUCACUGUUGCCAGCACGUUAUGGUGGGGACUCAGUGGAGACCGCCGGGGUCAACUCGGAGGAAGGUGGGGAUGACGUCAAGUCAUCAUGCCCCUUAUGUCCAGGGCUUCACGCAUGCUACAAUGGCUGGUACAGAGAGUGGCGAGCCUGUGAGGGUGAGCGAAUCUCGGAAAGCCGGUCUCAGUUCGGAUUGGGGUCUGCAACUCGACCUCAUGAAGUCGGAGUCGCUAGUAAUCGCAGAUCAGCAACGCUGCGGUGAAUACGUUCCCGGGGCU